rnacentral:misc_RNA from 1 species
AACAAAAAAACCUUGCAUCAUCAUGUAUCAUAUAGAAUGUGUGUACGUGUGUGUGUGGGGGAAAUAUCUGAAAAGAAAAGAGAGCCCUUGGGGAUUACGGAUGAAGCAUCGUUUUUAUGUAUAAAAGUGUGUGCAUGAUCCGCUCCGGCGUUUGUGUGUGUUCUCCAUUUUUUUUGGAUUCUUGUUUCUUGUUCUUUUGAAUAUAUGAAAUGAGGAUCUAUUAUUUUUGGGGAGUGCACGUGCAAUAACAAACAAAAAAACUCACAAGAGAGGAAUUAAUUGAAAAAAAAAAGGGGGCUUUGGUUGGUUGGUGGGAAAGGUGGUGGUUGUGGAAGGAAGGGGGGGGGGAAUGGGGGGGGUGGGGGGUUGUUGUGGGUUGCGUGGUUUAAUCAGGCUUAAAAUUCUUAUUAAUUAAAAUUUUCCCAAUUAAACCGGAGGAGGGGGCCGGAACCCCCCACCCCAACAGGACCUCCUUAAUUUUUUUUUGUUU